rnacentral:rRNA from 1 species
UGGGGAAUAUUGGACAAUGGGGGCAACCCUGAUCCAGCCAUGCCGCGUGAGUGAUGAAGGCCUUCGGGUUGUAAAGCUCUUUUGGCGGGGACGAUGAUGACGGUACCCGCAGAAUAAGCCCCGGCUAACUUCGUGCCAGCAGCCGCGGUAAGACGAAGGGGGCUAGCGUUGUUCGGAAUUACUGGGCGUAAAGCGAGUGUAGGCGGUUGCCGUAGUCAGGUGUGAAAGCCUUGAGCUCAACUCAAGAAAUGCACUUGAUACUGGGUGACUAGAGGACCGGAGAGGAUAGUGGAAUUCCCAGUGUAGUGGUGAAAUACGUAGAGAUUGGGAAGAACACCAGUGGCGAAGGCGGCUAUCUGGACGGUUACUGACGCUAAGACUCGAAAGCGUGGGGAGCAAACAGGAUUAGAUACCCUGGUAGUCCACGCCGUAAACGAUGGGUGCUAGACGUUGGCGAGCUUGCUCGUCAGUGUCGCAGCUAGCGCGUUAAGCACCCCGCCUGGGGAGUACGGCCGCAA